rnacentral:rRNA from 1 species
CCCUUAGAUGUCCUGGGCUGCACGCGCGCUACACUGAUGUGUCCAGUAAGCACCUAACCUCUUCCGAAAGGAACGGGUAACCUUUGCAAAGCACAUCGUGAUGGGGAUAGAUUAUUGCAAUUAUUAGUCUUGAACGAGGAAUUCCUAGUAAGCACAAGUCAUCAGCUUGUGUUGAUUACGUCCCUGCCCUUUGUACACACCGCCCGUCGCUACUACCGAUUGAAUGAUUUAGUGAGUACCAGGGACCGAGCGCUUUGGUUGGGUUUCCUUCCCUAGCGCUUGGGAACUGUCGCAAACUUGACCAUUUAGAGGAAGUAAAAGUCGUAACA